GUUUGCUACACUACCGCCUUCUGAAGUAAAAAAGGGUUCAGGGUUAGAAUCAAGAUAUCACUUCGUUUGAGUGAUUUAGUGUUGCUGUGUACUCUUUUUAUUUUGGAAUGAAUUUAUACAAUUUCAUUUAUCACAUUUUUCAAGUGAAAUACAAACAAACUCGAUAAAUUUAAUAGUGUCAACAUAAAAAUUAUCAGUGGGCUUUCAUACACCAUUAAUAAACGACAUUCAAUAAAGAAUUUUAGAAAUGGCUGCUGCUGCUGCUGCUGCCCUGCUUGAUGAACUUAUGGGAAGAAACAGAAAUGUUCUUCCUAAUGAAAAACCUAAAGAACUUAAUUGGGAAGAUCCUGAAUUUUGUAAAUUAUAUUUAGUUAAAUUUUGUCCUCAUGAUUUAUUUGUUAAUACAAGAGCUGAUUUGGGUGCAUGUUCUCGAGUACAUGAUGAUGAAGCUAGAGAACUGUUCGAAAAAGCUCCAUAUUCAUAUCGAAAACAACAAUAUGAAGAUGAAUUUAUUAGAUUUUGUCAAAGUAUGUUAAAUGAAGUCGAAAGAAAAAUAAUAAAGGGAAAACAACGAUUAGCUCUUAUUGGAAGAACUGAAGCGCCUACUUUAACACCAGCACAAACUCAGAGAAAUGAAGAACAAAUUGCACUUUUAACUGAGAAAAUUAAUAAAUUAGUAGAAGAAGCAGAACAAAGUGGUAUACAAGGUAAUGUGGAACAAGCUCAAGGUUUAAUGAGAUUAUGUGAUCAAUUAAAAGAAGAACGAGAAACAUUAAGGAAAUCUAAUGACAAUAGUCAUUAUAAUCAGACUGCCGAAUUAGCUGCUGCACAAGAAAAACAAAUGGAAGUAUGUGAUGUAUGUGGUGCAUUUCUUAUUGUUGGAGAUGCACAACAACGAAUUGACGAUCAUCUAAUGGGUAAACAACAUGUUGGAUAUGCUAGAUUAAAGAGUGCUCUUCAAGAAAUUAUGAGUAAACGUGAAAAAGCUAGAGAUGAAAAAGAACAAAGAAGAGAAGAAGAUAGGAAACAAAGAGCACGUGCCAAUGAAGAACUUGAUAGACGAAGAAGAGAUGAUCGAGAUAGAGAUAGAGAAAGAGAUAAACGCCGUAGACGCGAUGAUGAUAAAGGCAGACAUGAUUCAGGCAGUCAUAGAAAUUCGGGACACAGAAGUAGAAGUAGAUCAAGAGAUAAACAUGAGAGACAUCGAGAUGAUGAUCACCGACGUCAUGCACGAGAUAAAGGAAAUCGUGAUCAUCGAAGCUCGAGUCAUCACAACCGGCGACGCCAUCGAUCUAGAAGUCGAAGUCACAAGUAACAACUCUUGAUUGGUUAGUGAGUGAGAAGUAAGCCAGGUAUGCACUAAACAAUAUAGCAUAUUCGUCUCAAUUACUGUACAGGUUCUUUACCAGGUGAGUUUCAUUAGAUGCACAUAAUAUAUACAUGAUAAUUAUCUGUAAUUUUGAAGAAUGGCAUAGUCACAGCGAGCCAGUCUCUGGUCCUGCCUAUUAAUCGGAGAAACACUUGUACUAAAUUUCAUAUGGACCUGUUUGUACAGCGUUUAAUUUUGAAAGUGACGAGCUUGCUCUAUGUAACAUAUUACUGAAAAACGGUGCAUCGAGGUAAUGUCGAGCAAGGAAUAGUAAUAUUGUUCCCAUACGAAAGGUAUUUUUAUCAUGUAGUAUUAUAGAUAUUGUCUACAGAGCAAGAUAGGAGAAGGUAUACCUAUGCUUGCUUUGAUCGGUAUAAUGUCUUCAUAGGGUAAAUCAAUUAUAUAAUUUCAACGACUGCAUAGCUUUUUUGUCGAAAAGAAAUUAGUGGUUUAGUGGAGGAAACAGUGCCUACUUCCGUAGACCUGCCACAACAGUGCCCUGUGUGACUGUGACUAUACAAUCCUAGCUUCUACUACGCAUUUCUGAGGUAUUUAUAUCGGAAUGAUAAUACCAAACAUGUCCUUUUAUUAGGAAAGUUAGACUUUUUCAAAAUGGUGAUCUUUAUUUUCGACGAUAUUCGAGUGCUUAUAAAGUUAUAAAGUUAUGAUAAUAAUCUCCUACUCUUACUUUCCUUAUUCCCUGAUUGCAAUUUAUUGGAGCAUAUUCUAUUUAAAAAUCGAAAAAUUAUCAAUUAGUCAGGGAAAAUUUCUGCUAUGAACUCAAAAGGAACAAUUUUAAUAUUUGAAUUUAAGAGAAUAAAGUAAUAGUUUAUUAUAACAGAUUCAUAUGUAUAGUCCAGAAAUGUAUAUUUAUUUAACAGCCAUGUGGCUAUUAUUGAUUCAGAAUGUAAUUUUGGCAUAUAGUCUUAUCGUCGUCAUUUGAACUUUAUUUGUAAAAGUUCGAGUAACAUGUAUCAUAUAUGAUGCAUUCUUCCCUUUGCAUGCAUUUUUUCUCCAUUAUUUUUAGUUUUGAGAGACAGGACAUGGCGAAGCUCGGUCAAAUUUUUCUAUUAGAAAGUCGUAUACAUAUAAAUCUCAUAGUAUCAUGGUACAGCGAUUUGAAGGUUGAUGACAGGUCACGUGGAAUGUAUCUUAUGGUGCUCCGAGGACAUCUCCUUUAAUCAUAUCUUAUUCUUUUGUCGCGCCCUUCAUUUCGGCUUAUAGAGAACUCAUACUUUAUGCGCGUACUACAUUUGUGUAUUUCAUAUUAAAUCAUAAUAAAUCAUUUAUAUACAUUUAAUAAUUUGUUUUCUGAACCAA